rnacentral:rRNA from 1 species
CCUACGGGUGGCAGCAGUGAGGAAUAUUGGUCAAUGGGCUUACGCCUGAACCAGCCAAGUCGCGUGAGGGAAGACUGCCCUAUGGGUUGUAAACCUCUUUUGUCAGGGAGCAACGCCGGCUACGUGUAGCCGGACUGAGAGUACCUGAAGAAAAAGCAUCGGCUAACCCCGUGCCAGCAGCCGCGGUAAUACGGGGGUUGCGAUCGUUAUCCGGAUUUUUUGGGUUAACAGGGUGCGUAGGCGGCAGGUCAAGUCAGCGGUAAAAUCGCGGGGCUCAACCUCGCUCCGCCGUUGAAACUGGCGUUCUUGAGUGGGCGAGAAGUAUGCGGAAUGCGGGGUGUAGCGGUGAAAUGCAUAGAUAUCACGCAGAACUCCGAUUGCGAAGGCAGCAUGCCGGCGCCCAACUGACGCUGAGGCACGAAAGCGUGGGUAUCGAACAGGAUUAGAUACCCUAGUAGUC